UUAAGUUCAGCGGGUAAUCCUACCUGAUUUGAGAUCAAGAAUUAAGAGUUGAGCUUGCGCUCGCAUCCCAAGUUCCUGCGUUCGUCGGUGACAGUCGUCAGAUCUGAACGUUACGUUAUGGUGCUAAGAAUGAAAACGUCUUGCGACGCCUCCAACUAGUACACCUGCAACGAGCUGAUCCUUAAUGACCACUGCUCCCG
rnacentral:misc_RNA from 1 species